CCUGCUCAGGAAGCGUGGAUCUCCGCGACCACGGCCAGCAACGUCGGUGCUUCGCCUUGUGCCUGGAGUCCUGUCAGAGCACCAUCCGCAUUGACGCCCUCAAUCCUCCCAACACAUGUCCAGGAGGCCCCACAGAGCUCCCUGCGCCCUCCACCCUGUGAGGACACAGCAAGACCGCUGCCAUCUAUGAGCCAGGAAGGCCUUCACCAGAACACAACCGUGCUGGCGGCUUGACGUUGGACUUCCAGCCUGCAGGAUGGAGAGAAACUGCUCCCUCACAAGCUGCUCCUUGGUUUGCUUGGAGGAAGAAGACCAUGAGGACCCAAGGUGGUGUCUCUGCAAGACUUGAGCUGAAGCCAUUCUGCUCUGAUUCUUGGUGUUGUAAAGCUUUCUACUCUCCAGACUCGGU